GUUUCAAUUCCUACAAGGUAAGGUACAAAC
rfam:Thermosipho africanus TCF52B, complete genome.